rnacentral:lncRNA from 1 species
AGCGAUCAGCGCUUUAUUAUUAGGGGAGAUUUAUAGAACAAGUAUUUUCAGACGGAGGCUAAUCGGUACCCCUCAAAAAAGAAAAAAAACUAAUAAAUGCACGUCCGCAAAAGGUAAAUUUUCUAGUUAGUGCUACUGUGCUAGCACGAAGUAGCAGGUUCUAGUCGAUACAUAGCGACUACAUUUCCUAAAAAAAGUACCCAUCCCCCAAUGCGGUCUUAUCAUCAACCCAGUGCCGCUCCGCUUCCAUGUUCCUCCUGCUACCUCACCAUCCAGAGUGCUACUCUGUUCGCCAUUCAGCAGAGCAGGAUCUCAAUUCUUCUUCCACGGCCGCAUGGCAAGAGCGAAGCUGCCGCCCCGUGCUUUAAGCCAACCAGCUGCCUUCCCUUCUCUCUCUUUCUCACUCUCUCCUUUUCCCUUCUAUAAUCUCUCUAAUCUCUGUUCUCUCCAGGGAAGGGAGUAGCCAUGGAACAGCGCAACACCCCGCCUAGGAGCUUGCCGCAUGUGGCCACCUCUCCGCCGACCUCGUGCUCCUCCUCCUAGAUUCGUCUGCCUCGUCGCCGAAUCCACACUGGAGUAGCCAGAUCCGCUCUGUCGGCCUCGUGCUCCUCCUCCUCGAUUCGUCUGCCUCGUCGCCGAAUCCACACUGGAGCAGUGGGAUCCGCUCCAUCGGCCUCGUGCUCCUCCGGCACAAUUCGUCUGCCUCAUCACCGGAUCCACGCAGGAGCAGCCAGGUUCGCCACCUCCUGCCUGGCCUGCUGUUGGUCUCGCGGUGGAGGACGGGGUGGAUAAUGUGAGCUGGGGUGUUUUUUUAAUAAACCUGAAACGUUUUUUGUUCACUCAAAUCAGGAGCGCGGGUUGAAUACCCAAUACAUUAAGGGCUUUUGUGUAAAAGUGCGACGACGGACGACAGAAACCAUAGGUGCUUUAUUAUUAGGGAGAGAUUUAUACUAACUUAGUUUUAAAUUUAUGCCACUUAUUUUAAGACGAAGGUAAUAUUAUAUUAUUUAAGGGAUCCAUUUGAUAUCUUUAGAAGAGAGUAUGUGGGUACCUUGUAAAGGCACUUUCAACGCAGAUCAUCAAAAC